rnacentral:rRNA from 1 species
GAUGAACGCUGGCGGCGUGCCUAAUACAUGCAAGUCGAGCGAACAGACGAGGAGCUUGCUCCUUUGACGUUAGCGGCGGACGGGUGAGUAACACGUAGGUAACCUACCUAUAAGACUGGGAUAACUUCGGGAAACCGGAGCUAAUACCGGAUAAUAUUUCGAACCGCAUGGUUCGAUAGUGAAAGAUGGCUUUGCUAUCACUUAUAGAUGGACCUGCGCCGUAUUAGCUAGUUGGUAAGGUAACGGCUUACCAAGGCAACGAUACGUAGCCGACCUGAGAGGGGGACGGGCCACAUGGGAAGUGAGACACGGCCGCCACUCCUGGGGGGGCAAGAGGUGGGGACUCUCCGACAGGGGGCGAAGGCCUGACGGAGCACCGCCGGGGGAGUGAUGAGGGUUUUCGGAUGUAAAAAUUUUUUUAUGGGGAAAAAAAAAAGGUGUAAGUACGUGUGCGCGUCUGGAGGUAACCUAAUAAAAAGCCCACGGCUAACUCGGGC